UCCUGUUUGAAUAUUUUUCAUUGAUUUAUCAUGAUGGUCCACUACAUGACCAUGAGAUGGCAGUGUUAAAUAACUAAAACAUCCUAGAACAUAUGACACAUAAACCCCAACAUUUCUAUGAAAUUAUAUUUAUUUUAAUAUUCUGAAGAAUAGUAAUGAUCUUCAAAUGAAAUAAAAAACAAACAAACAAAAACUGUGUGUGUGUGUGUGUGUGUGUGUGUGUGUGUGUGUGUGUGUGUGUGUGUGUGUGUGUGUGUGUGUGUGUUGCAUGCAGUUAGAUUUAUCUGAUAAAAUACAGAGCCAUAAAGGCUACACCAUUAAACAGAACUGUGAUCGAUACUCAAAGUUAGUCAUUAAGAGAGUCCCUUAUUUUCCUGUAUGUUAUGCAUAAAGAGAGAGAGAGAGAGAGAGAGAGAGAGAGAGAGAGAGAGAGAGAGAGAGAGAGAGAGAAGGGGGGGGGGAUAAAAGUGUGAAGUAUUUAUGUAAUGCUCCAAAGUACAAACACAUCAAAAUCAAAUAAAAAAUUAAAAAAGGAAUGCCUCAAUCAUUCUUCACUUUUCAUCACAUUUUUUUCUUCAUCACAGGAUUUCGUUCAUACGUCACAUUAUCUGUGUACAGCUUGACAUUCUCUAAGAGCAUACCAUUAAAUAGCUGUCCUUUAAUGACAUGUCAGUUGUUACUUAAGCAUCUAACAGCAUCUUGUACCUCUUCUAUACACUGAACUAAUUGGUGAAUUUAACAAAUUGUAUUUAUUUAUUUAUUUGUUUGUUUCCCAAGAACAUCAGUGUUUUGUGCAGAUCCCAAAUGUCGAGGCUUUUCACAAGAUCAUUCACAGCUGAUAUUUUGUCCUCUGAAGUCUCUAAAGGCGAAAACAUUGCAAGCGAGCUUUAUGCAGAUGCGUUCCAUGCAUUCGGAGGUCAGUGCUGAAAGUUUGAUCACCUGUCUCUGUAUAAAACAUCCAUCAUCAUAAUCAUCACCAUCAUCAUCAUCAUCAUUGUCUUCGGCCAUUUGAAAUCCUUCUCAGUCCAACGAUCUUUCUCAUUUCUGAGAGUUAAACAGUUCCUGAGAUUUAAAAGCCACAGAAAUCGCUUACAUAAUGUUUCCAUACGCUUUCUAAUCUACACUUUCCAAUCAAUGAGCGGACCUCCUGAUUUUUCUGAAUGUUUCUUUGAGUUUCGUUGCAACUUUCAUUUAUAUACCUGAACCCAAAAUGAGCGAUACAAGUGCUGUUAAUGAAACCAGCAGGUUUAUCCAUUUGUUUUCUGAAGCACAGGCAUGGUUUAGAGGUUGUUUCCAGUUCUGGUUCUGCUCCUGAGCAUUCACUCGCUCAUUGCAGUCUGCAAAAAAGACAAAAAAAAGCAUUAAAAAAAAGAAGUGUUACAAGUGUUACCUGGAGAUUACUGAUUAUUUUUUUCAAUGCAAAUGCUUUUCCAUACACACGUGAUAAUUAACUAGAUGACAGAUAGCACUUUCCUCAGAAUGUGUUACGCUGCCUUGUGACUCAGCAUCAGCAUGAGCUAACAAAGUCAGUUUUAAUUUCAAGUUGUCUUGAAAUAAUUCAUGGUGAAGACUUGAUUUGAACUCUAGGACAUUUGAG
ensembl:lncRNA